rnacentral:rRNA from 1 species
CCUACGGGAGGCAGCAGUUAGGAAUAUUCGUCAAUGGGGGAAACCCUGAACGAGCAAUGCCGCGUGAACGAUGAAGGCCCUCCGGGUUGUAAAGUUCUGUUGUUUGGAAAGAAUCUCGCGUGUAGGAAAUGACACGCGACUGACGGUACCAUUCAAGAAAGCCACGGCUAACUACGUGCCAGCAGCCGCGGUAAUACGUAGGUGGCGAGCGUUAUCCGGAUUUAUUGGGCGUAAAGCGUCCGCAGCCGGUUUAUUAAGUCUAAGAUUAAAGCCCGAAGCUUAACUUCGGUUCGUUUUAGAAACUGGUAGACUCGAGUGUGGUAGAGGCAAGUGGAACUUCUAGUGUAGCGGUAAAAUGCGUAGAUAUUAGAAAGAACACCAGUGGCGAAGGCGACUUGCUGGGCCAUCACUGACGGUCAGGGACGAAAGCGUGGGGAGCAAAUAGGAUUAGAUACCCUUGUAGUC